AAGGUUUUCGGAUCGUAAAGCUCUGUUGUUAGGGAAGAACAAGUGCGAGAGUAACUGCUCGCACCUUGACGGUACCUAACCAGAAAGCCACGGCUAACUACGUGCCAGCAGCCGCGGUAAUACGUAGGUGGCAAGCGUUGUCCGGAAUUAUUGGGCGUAAAGGGCUCGCAGGCGGUUUCUUAAGUCUGAUGUGAAAGCCCCCGGCUCAACCGGGGAGGGUCAUUGGAAACUGGGAAACUUGAGUGCAGAAGAGGAGAGUGGAAUUCCACGUGUAGCGGUGAAAUGCGUAGAGAUGUGGAGGAACACCAGUGGCGAAGGCGACUCUCUGGUCUGUAACUGACGCUGAGGAGCGAAAGCGUGGGGAGCGAACAGGAUUAGAUACCCUGGUAGUCCACGCCGUAAACGAUGAGUGCUAAGUGUUAGGGGGUUUCCGCCCCUUAGUGCUGCAGCUAACGCAUUAAGCACUCCGCCUGGGGAGUACGGUCGCAAGACUGAAACUCAAAGGAAUUGACGGGGGCCCGCACAAGCGGUGGAGCAUGUGGUUUAAUUCGAAGCAACGCGAAGAACCUUACCAGGUCUUGACAUCCUCUGACAACCCUAGAGAUAGGGCUUUCCCUUCGGGGACAGAGUGACAGGUGGUGCAUGGUUGUCGUCAGCUCGUGUCGUGAGAUGUUGGGUUAAGUCCCGCAACGAGCGCAACCCUUGAUCUUAGUUGCCAGCAUUCAGUUGGGCACUCUAAGGUGACUGCCGGUGACAAACCGGAGGAAGGUGGGGGAUGACGUCAAAUCAUCAUGCCCCUUAUGACCUGGGCU
rnacentral:rRNA from 2 species